rnacentral:rRNA from 2 species
CGAAGACUUGAUAACACACUGAUUUCCGUGCACUUGUUGCACGGGCUCGCGUCCACUUUGUGGUUCCCGACAGACGAUCGGGAAUCAAACUGAAUGCACCGCUCUGCCCAUUCGUGGGUAGCAGCCGGAACAUGUUUGAGACCAGAUCAUGGUCGAUAGUGUUCCGGUGGUCAUAGCGAGAGGGAAACGCCCGGUCACAUUCCGAACCCGGAAGCUAAGCCUCUCAGCGCCGAUGGUACUGCAAGGGGGACCUUGUGGGAGAGUAGGACGCCGCCGGAC